GACGAACGCUGGCGGCGUGCCUAAUACAUGCAAGUUGAGCGCUGAAGGUUGGUACUUGUACCAACUGGAUGAGCAGCGAACGGGUGAGUAACGCGUGGGGAAUCUGCCUUUGAGCGGGGGACAACAUUUGGAAACGAAUGCUAAUACCGCAUAAAAACUUUAAACACAAGUUUUAAGUUUGAAAGAUGCAAUUGCAUCACUCAAAGAUGAUCCCGCGUUGUAUUAGCUAGUUGGUGAGGUAAAGGCUCACCAAGGCGAUGAUACAUAGCCGACCUGAGAGGGUGGUCGGCCACAUUGGGACUGGGACACGGCCCAAACUCCUACGGGAGGCAGCAGUAGGGAAUCUUCGGCAAUGGACGAAAGUCUGACCGAGCAACGCCGCGUGGGUGAAGAAGGUUUUCGGAUCGUAAAACUCUGUUGGUAGGGAAGAACGUUGGUGAGAGUGGAAAGCUCAUCAAGUGACGGUAACUACCCAGAAAGGAACGGCUAACUACGUG
rnacentral:rRNA from 1 species